CUACGGGUGGCUGCAGUGGGGAAUUUUGGACAAUGGGCGCAAGCCUGAUCCAGCCAUUCCGCGUGAGUGAAGAAGGCCUUCGGGUUGUAAAGCUCUUUCGCAAGGGAAGAAAACUUAUCCUCUAACAUAGGAUGAGGUUGACGGUACCUUGAUAAGAAGCACCGGCUAACUACGUGCCAGCAGCCGCGGUAAUACGUAGGGUGCGAGCGUUGGCGGGAAUUAUUGGGCGUAAAGCUUGCACGGCAGGUUUGAAAUCCCCGAGCUCAACUUGGGAACUGCGUUUGAAACUACAAGACUAGAAUAGGUCAGAGGGGGGUAGAAUUCCACGUGUAGCAGUGAAAUGCGUAGAGAUGUGGAGGAAAAUCAAUGGCGAAGGCAGCCCCCUGGGAUCAUAUUGACGCUCAUGCACGAAAGCGUGGGGAGCAAACAGGAUUAGAUACCCCGGUAGUC
rnacentral:rRNA from 1 species